AUACCUUUCUUUGCCUUUUGGCUAAGAUCAAGUGUAGUAUCAUUGAUUCAAACGAUAUUAAAUUUAGUUUUUUGAGGGAGAGUGUUCACCUAUAAUUUAUUUUUUUAGGGAGAGUGUCCACCUACAAUAGCUUGCUAUAGGGACUCUUAGGCAUUUCUCCUGUCUUGCACUAAUGCAAGAGCUGGUGCAUCCCAC
rnacentral:snRNA from 1 species